UACGGAAGGCAGCAGUGGGGAAUAUUGCACAAUGGGCGAAAGCCUGAUGCAGCUAUGCCGCGUGUAUGAAGAAGGCCUUAGGGUUGUAAAGUACUUUCAUCGGGGAGGAAAAAACAAAACUAAUAAUUUUAUUUCUUGACGUUACCCGAAAAAGAAGCACCGGCUAACUCCGUGCCAGCAGCCGCGGUAAUACGGAGGGUGCUAGCGUUAAUCAGAAUUACUGGGCGUAAAGAGCACGUAGGUGGUUUUUUUAAGUCAGAUGUGAAAUCCCUGGGCUUAACCUGGAAUUGCAUUUUGAAACUGAAAUACUAGAGUAUCGUAGAGGGAGGUAGAAUUCUAGGUGUAGCGGUGAAAUGCGUAGAUAUCUGGAGGAAUACCUGUGGCGAAAGCGGCCUCCUAAACGAAUACUGACACUGAGGUGCGAAAGCGUGGGGAGCAAACAGGGAUUAGAUACCCGU
rnacentral:rRNA from 1 species